rnacentral:rRNA from 1 species
UACGGAGGGUGCGAGCGUUGUUCGGAAUUAUUGGGCGUAAAGCGCGUGUAGGCGGUUGACUAAGUCUGAUGUGAAAGCCCCGGGCUUAACUUGGGAAGUGCAUUGGAAACUGGUUGGCUGGAGUACGGGAGAGGGAAGUGGAAUUCCGAGUGUAGGGGUGAAAUCCGUAGAUAUUCGGAAGAACACCGGUGGCGAAGGCGGCUUCCUGGACCGAUACUGACGCUGAGACGCGAAAGCGUGGGGAG